UAGGGAAUCUUCCACAAUGGACGCAAGUCUGAUGGAGCAACGCCGCGUGAGUGAAGAAGGGUUUCGGCUCGUAAAGCUCUGUUGGUAGUGAAGAAAGAUAGAGGUAGUAACUGGCCUUUAUUUGACGGUAAUUACCUAGAAAGUCACGGCUAACUACGUGCCAGCAGCCGCGGUAAUACGUAGGUGGCAAGCGUUGUCCGGAUUUAUUGGGCGUAAAGCGAGUGCAGGCGGUUCAAUAAGUCUGAUGUGAAAGCCUUCGGCUCAACCGGAGAAUUGCAUCAGAAACUGUUGAACUUGAGUGCAGAAGAGGAGAGUGGAACUCCAUGUGUAGCGGUGGAAUGCGUAGAUAUAUGGAAGAACACCAGUGGCGAAGGCGGCUCUCUGGUCUGCAACUGACGCUGAGGCUCGAAAGCAUGGGUAGCGAACAGGAUUAGAUACCCUGGUAGUCCAUGCCGUAAACGAUGAGUGCUAAGUGUUAGGAGGUUUCCGCCUCUCAGUGCUGCAGCUAACGCAUUAAGUACUCCGCCUGGGGAGUACGACCGCAAGGUUG
rnacentral:rRNA from 1 species